rnacentral:lncRNA from 1 species
GUAUCAGCUUUAGUUUGAUCUUGCAGAUCAUGUUGUCAAGUACUGCAUCUUUAUCAUGACAUGUUUUAUCGAAUAACUAGCUAUAUAUGUUUAAUAGCUACUGUACUUUUACAGUUCUACUAGUUUGUGAAUUUUGAAAACUUGUAUUGGUGAUUUGGAGUUGGGAUAUAACAAUAAUAAUUUGAUUAUAAAUUGAAUGAUGAUAACUAAAAAUUUCUAGUAAAAAUUAGACGAAAUAAUAUGUAAAAAAAGGUACCAAAUAGUAAAUAUAUAUUAAUUAUAUUACAUAAAUGGAAUAUUUCAUAAAUUAAGGACAUUUUAGGCAGUUUAGGAUGUGUAUUAAGUAUAAUACUGAAAUGAAAAACUUGAUAGGUGGUGUAUUAAGUAAGGGGUGUGUAUUAAGAUAUUAGGGGUGUGUAUUUAAAAUUUCUCAAAUCUAAAUUACCUGUUUCAGAAAAAAUAAAAAAUAAAAAAUUCACUGUUGUUAAUGAACAGGGUAAAAACACUGUUCAUAGGCUGAAUACAAAUUCUAAAAUUCCCGAUUUGAAUUCCUCAUAAAAUAAGCGUCAUUUAUCAAUUCCCUUAACUAAGGUUAGUCUGAGUACAAAUUUUUGUCAUUUUAAAACUCUACAUCAUGAAAUCCAAACAAUGAAAUUCUUAAUUAAUAGGAUUUAAAUUCAUGAAAUAGUAAUUCUUAUAAUUUUAAAAUUCUAUGGACAUUAAAAUUACUUUAUCCAAAAACAACGUUAUGAAGCUGGUCAAUGGGUUAAUUGAUUGAUAGAAAUGUUUCUGAUAUGUAC